GGGCCCGUGGCCCAGCUGGUGGGGCGCCCACCCCGCCCGCGGGAGGUCCCGGGUUCGAGUCCCGGCGGGCCCACCA
rnacentral:tRNA from 1 species